UUGUUAAAAGAGGCAUACAGUAAAUAUGAAAGAAAGAGAAACUGAAAACAUAGAAGUGUGAAGGAUCUGAGGUUAAAGAAGGCGAAACCAGUUGAUACCCUGGAGGGAGGUUGAUACCCAGUUGAAGAUCAUAACGAACAUCAAGAAAAAUGGACGGACGUUCAGAUACUGUGAGUCCUUUGUUAGAGCGCGAUGGUGUGAGAAUUUCAAGAGGUUUUGAAGAUGAAAGUGGAGGUAAUAACAACACAAAUUGCGAACAAAGCAAUGGAGAUGGCAGUGGAAGUUCAAAUGCAGUUGAAGGCUCACUGGAUGAAACUAAUGAAGUCAAUCCGAUUAUGAUAAAAGAUAUGGUUGAUAUAAUGAAUAUUGACCUGGAAAACAUUUGUGUGGCUGAUGUGGAAAGAUAUGAAUUUGUUGGUUUAGAUGUUGCCUACAUGUUUUACUCUUGGUUUGCCAGCAUGUCAGGAUUUUCAGUUCGUAAGGGGCAAGUGGCGAGGGAUCGAAAUGGUGAAGUCGUCCAAAGACCUUUGUUUGUUCAUGUCAAGGUUACAGGGAGGAUAGGGGGUUAACUAUGGAAAACCGAAAGCGUGAGCCAAAAAAUGAAACAAUCAUGCUAUGUUAGAAGGUACUCUUUGUGGAAUGUUGCCAGCGUACAGAAAAAUGAGCGAGGCCGAUAUAGCUGAAAUUGAGCGUAGUCGAAAAGCAGGGAUAAGUCCUUACCAAAUGUAUGAGUCUUUGGCAAAUGCUUCCGGGGGUUUUCAUAAGGUAGGAUUUGUUAAAAAGGAUUUGUACAACCAGGUUGCGAGGCAACACAAAUCAUUGUUUUCUGAUGCUUAUGGUGAAGUUAAGUAUCUUCGAGAUCUUUGCACAGACGAUCCUCUAAUGUUUGUGAAAAGCUGUAUUGACGAUGAUAGGAGGCUUGAGCGUCUGUUCUGGUGUGACGGUGAAAGUCGUAUGAAUUAUGAGAUAUUUGGAGAUGUUUUGGCCUUUGAUGCAACUUAUCGGAAGAACAAGUACAAUUGUCUGUUUGUUGUGUUCUCAGGUGUUAAUCACCAUAAUCAGACCAUUGUUUUUGCGACAGGUGUAGUAACGCGGGAGACCGAAGACACAUAUGUAUAGCUGUUGGAACAAUUUUUGAGUGCAAUGAACGGUAAACCUCCUUUGUCAGUUAUAACAGAUGGCGACCUUGCAAUGAAAAAUGCCAUUAAAAAGGUUUUUCCUACAGCGCACCACAGGUUGUGUGCCUGGCAUCUGUUAAGGAAUGCUUCCACCAACAUUGGGAUUCCUGAUUUUAUGUCUUAUCUGAAAAAAUGCAUGUUGGGUGACAUUGAGAUUAACAAAUUUGAAAAUCUGUUGUCUGAGAUGGUUCAAAAGUUUGGGUUAGAAAACAACAGUUGGAUCAAUGAGAUGUACGAAAAGAAGAAGAUGUGGGUCACCUCUUACAUCAGAGGAAGUUUCUUUGCUGAUAUAAGAACCACCUUUCGUUGUGAGGCACUCCAUAGCCACAUGGGACAAUACGUGCAUUCUCGGAUAAACAUGACUGGUUUUGUGCAACAGUUCCAUAGGUGUUUAACAUUUUUUGGUUCAGGGAAAUUUUAUCUGAUUACCAAUCCAAUUAUGGUCUGCCUGUGAUGCAGACCAGUUUACGUUCAUUAGAGAAAUCUGUGGCUAAUCAGUUUACGAAGGCGAUUUUUCUUAUGUUUCGUACCGUGCUGAAAAGAUCAUUGCUUCUUAGAGUUACAGAAAGCCAAGAAAUUUCCAUGGGGUAUAUUUUCACGAUUUCAAAAUACCGUGGUGAUGGUAGGGUUUGGCAUGUGACAUAUUGUGAAGAACCAGUUGUUUUAAAAUGCUCGUGUCUUAGAAUGGAAUCGCUUGGUUUGCUGUGUGAUCAUAUUCUUGUUGUUCUUCUGUAUCUUGAUUUUGAUGAUCUUCCAAAAUGUUUGGUUUUGCAAAGGUGGUCCAAGUUUGCUUAAGAUUCGAUUUGUGGUAGUUAUGCCAAUGGAUCUCUUUAUUGGGACUCGCAAAUUGCUACAAGGUAUUAUGGCAUAUUCCAAAUGUGUAAAGUUGUUGCUGAGAUGGUAUACGAAGAUGAAGAUGAGUACAACCGUGUUGUCGAAUAUCUGAGUGGUGAAAUUAAUCGGCUUAAAUUGAAAAGGAACGACGCAAAUUGUGAUACAGUUCCAGUGGCACAGAACAGCACGGACGAGAAUGUGUUGGAUCCACAAUGUGUAAGAACAAAGGGUUGUGGAGCUAACCCCAGUGGUACUCCUGGUAGACGUAAACGUACACAAAAUUGAAGCGUUUGUGGUGUCAUAGGUCAUAAUAGACGUUGUUGUCCUUCCAUCAGUCACAUUAAUCUUGGGCAGACACAAACACCAAUGUCAAUUGACGAAGGAAUUCUCCAAGACGAGGAUGCAUACAACAGUGAGGGUUACAAUGACAUGCUGAGCCAGGAUUGAAACGUGUAUCGUCCAUGUUAUGGAAGCCUUGUUACGAAUAUUACUAUAUGAGUUGUUGUCAUGGAAAUGAUUUGGGGUCCAAUAUGUUUCAAUGAAUAUGCUUUAUAGAGCAAAUUUAAAUCAACUGUUUAAACAAUGGUGGUUUUCUGCGUGUUAUGUAGUAUAUUAUUUGAAUAUUUUAGUUUGUGUGAUGUACCAAGUUGUCUGUGUGAUGUACACUAUCUGGAUUUGUGUCGUAAUGUUGUAUGAUGUUGCGAUGUAGAGUAAUCAUGGACCUGUAUUACCUUAAUUGGUGUGGCACUUAUUUGCUUUCAA